UACAGAGGGUGCUAGCGUUGUUCGGAAUCAUUGGGCGUAAAGGGCGUGUAGGCGGUUUGUUAAGUCAUGUGUGAAAUCCCUCGGCUCAACCGAGGACGUGCAUCGGAAACUGCGGGGCUUGAGUACUGAAGAGGAUCGCGGAAUUCCCGGUGUAGAGGUGAAAUUCGUAGAUAUCGGGAGGAACACCAGUGGCGAAGGCGGCGAUCUGGGCAGAUACUGACGCUGAGGUGCGAAAGCGUGGGGAGCAAACAGG
rnacentral:rRNA from 1 species